GACAGAGGGUGCAACCGUUGUUCGGAAUUACUGGGCGUAAAGCGCGUGUAGGCUGCUCUGCAAGUCGGAUGUGAAAGCCCUGGGCUCAACCUAGGAAGUGCACUCGAAACUGCAGAGCUUGAGUCUCGGAGAGGAUCGCGGAAUUCUCGGUGUAGAGGUGAAAUUCGUAGAUAUCUGGAGGAACACCGGUGGCGAAGGCGGCAUCCUGGACCGAGAUUGACGCUGAGGCGCGAAAGCUAGGGGAGCAAACGGG
rnacentral:rRNA from 1 species